UGGGGAAUAUUGGACAAUGGGCGCAAGCCUGAUCCAGCAAUACCGCGUGUGUGAAGAAGGCCUGAGGGUUGUAAAGCACUUUCACUGGGGAGGAAAAAGGCCGGUCUAAUACGCCUGCCCUUGACAUUACCUAGAGAAGAAGCACCGGCUAACUCCGUGCCAGCAGCCGCGGUAAUACGGAGGGUGCGAGCGUUAAUCGGAAUUACUGGGCGUAAAGCGUGCGUAGGCGGCCCGUUAAGUCAGAUGUGAAAGCCCUGGGCUCAACCUGGGAACGGCAUUUGAAACUGGCGGGCUAGAGUUAGGUAGAGGGGGGCGGAAUUUCAGGUGUAGCGGUGAAAUGCGUAGAUAUCUGAAGGAACACCAGUGGCGAAGGCGGCUCCCUGGACCCAAACUGACGCUGAGGUACGAAAGCGUGGGUAGCAAACA
rnacentral:rRNA from 1 species